CCUACGGGCGGCUGCAGUGAGGAAUAUUGGUCAAUGGGCGGGAGCCUGAACCAGCCAAGCCGCGUGAAGGAAGAAGGCGCCAGGCGUCGUAAACUUCUUUUGUCGGGGAACAAAGGGCGCCACGCGUGGCGUUGUGAGUGUACCCGAAGAAAAAGCAUCGGCUAACUCCGUGCCAGCAGCCGCAGUAAUACGGAGGAUGCGAGCGUUAUCCGGAUUUAUUGGGUUUAAAGGGUGCGUAGGCGGUCGGGAAAGUCAGCGGUAAAAGGGCGGGGCUCAACCCCGGCCAGCCGUUGAAACGGCGGGUCUAGAGUGGGCGAGAAGGACGGGGAAUGGGGGGUGUAGCGGUGAAAUGCAUAGAGAUCGCGCAGAACUCCGAUUGCGAGGGCAGCGUACCGGCGCCGGACUGACGCUGAGGCACGAAAGGGUGGGUAUCGAACAGGAUUAGAUACCCGAGUAGUC
rnacentral:rRNA from 1 species